rnacentral:misc_RNA from 1 species
UUCGAGUGAUAUUGGAAACAUGACCUCUCUAAUUAGCCUUGACUUGUCUUUGAAUAAACUUGAUGGAAGAAUUCCUGCAUCAUUCCAAAAUCUUUGUAAUUUAAAGUCACUCGUUUAGGGGGAGGCCAAAUUAAGCCAAGAGAUAAAUGACAUCCUUGACAUUCUGCUUGCUUGUGUUUCAAAUGGGCUAGAGAUACUAGAUUUAACAGAUUGUCAACUAUCUGGUCAUUUGCCCAAUAAUCUUGGGGAAUUUAAAAAUCUAUACCAGCUUCUUUUAUCAGCUAAUUCCAUUUCUGGUCCAAUUACCAUCUCUCUGGGAGAUUUGACAUGGGUGAAAAUUAUAGACCUCUCUCAAAACAAUCUGAAUGGAAGUCUCCCCAGUAGUUUCGGAGGACUUGGAGAGUUAGAAAGUGUUGAUCUUUCUUAUAAUUUAUUGGAGGGUG